UGAUAAAUGUCUAAAUUUUCUUGUUAGCUAAAUAUUUACUAUUUUAUUUGAUAUAAAUUAGAUUGAUUAUUGAAGAUAAAGUAUAUCAAACAUGUAAUUCGGGAAGCUUUUUUAAAUUCAAAUUAGUUAAAACCACUUGUUUAAUGUAGUGUAAAUAUCCCUAAAGAUGUUCUUAUCCAUACAAUCGAACUGGCAAAGGUGCCACUUAAAGCACGAAACAAGGGAUAGCUAACAUUAUCAUCUGGAUAUAUUGUUAGAAUUUUAAGAAGAAGCUGGAAUAUACCUUAACAAAAAUAUUAUCAUGUCAGUGUCAGCUAAAAUAGAUUAUCACAGCAAAUAGUGUAAAAAUUUAAACUAAACAGGAUGCAUCUUAAAUUUUACUAAAAAAUGACAUAGGACUGCCGUUAGAGUGUCAAACACAGAUGGCAUACAGUUGCCCGGUAUAUAAUUAAUUGGAGAGGCAGAAUUCGUGUCCUAGGACUACACCAAAUAUUUUGUUUUCUGUUGCACUAUAUUUAAUAAUUGUUUUGAAUCAAAAACCGAGUUUGUAUGAUGCGUAAUCUUCAUAGUUUUUGUGUAAACCUUUUACGCGAAACAGUAAAAGUUUCAUACAUCUGUUCAUUGUGAAAUAUUUGUACUCUGUGACUCAUGCUACUGUAUCGGGAAAUAAACCGCUUGACCGAACUCUUAUUAAACAUAAAACAUUAAAAGAGGCAUCAAAGCUUCAGAUAAGACCUAAUAUAUCUACAAUAAGAAAUAAUUACGACUGCAUUAGAGCAUUAGAUACUAGUAACUUAAAUAGUUUCGUUAACUUUAUAUAACAAGCAUUUAUAUAUAUAAUAAAAUGUAUAAUAGCGUUACGUUAACAAUCAGUAUUUUUUUGUAUAUCUAAUCUCACAUAUAUUAGUAUUCUACUUGAAUUUUCAACUCUCUGAAGGCGAUUACAAUAACAAGAAAUUAUAGAACCUAAACAAAAUAGUUUUAUUCAUAAAUUGGUAGUUAAGAAUACAUAUUUACCGGAAAUGUUUUUGAAUUUUUCACGGUCUUUCAGUUUAUUAUUUCUGCCACAUCAAUGCAACAAUAAUAAUUAUACAACGUAGUUUAGAACAAUAAAACGAAUGAUUUUAUUAUUAUAAAUAUUCGCUUAAUAGCGAGGUUAUAUAAUAUUGCGUAAAAAGAUACUUGGUUGCUAUUACGAAAAACAUGGGACAAUAUUAGCAAAUAAUAGCAACAUGCUGGGCACAACUAAUUUGAGUGUCUUAACUCAUGGUUAUAAUAUUUUACAGACUCGGUCACA